ensembl:snRNA LOC120096369 U6 spliceosomal RNA
UGCUCACUUUGGCGGCACACAGACUAAACUGGAAUACUAGAGAGAUCAGCCAGCAUGACCCCUGCUCAAGGAUGGCUCACAAGGCUGGGAAGUGUUACACGUUUAA